rnacentral:rRNA from 1 species
GUGGGGAAUCUUAGACAAUGGGGGAAACCCUGAUCUAGCCAUGCCGCGUGAGCGAUGAAGGCCUUAGGGUUGUAAAGCUCUUUCAGCUGGGAAGAUAAUGACGGUACCAGCAGAAGAAGCCCCGGCUAACUCCGUGCCAGCAGCCGCGGUAAUACGGAGGGGGCUAGCGUUGUUCGGAAUUACUGGGCGUAAAGCGCGCGUAGGCGGACCAGAAAGUUGGAGGUGAAAUCUCAGGGCUCAACCUUGGAACUGCCUUCAAUACUCCUGGUCUGGAGUUCGAGAGAGGUGAGUGGAAUUCCGAGUGUAGAGGUGAAAUUCGUAGAUAUUCGGAGGAACACCAGUGGCGAAGGCGGCUCACUGGCUCGAUACUGACGCUGAGGUGCGAAAGCGUGGGGAGCAAACAGGAUUAGAAACCCCAGUAGUCC